rnacentral:rRNA from 1 species
AAUAUUGGACAAUGGGGGUAACCCUGAUCCAGCCAUGCCGCGUUUGUGAAGAAGGACUUCGGAUUGUAAAGCACUUUAAGUAGGGAGGAAGAGUUGUAGGCUAAUAGCUUGCAAUUUUGACGUUACCAACAGAAUAGGCACCGGCUAACUCUGUCACAUCAGCCUCGGUAAUACAGAGGUUGCAAGCGUUAAUCGGAAUUACUGGGCGUAAAGCGCGCGUAGGUGGUUCAGUAAGAUGGAAGUGAAAUCCCCGGGCUUAACCUGGGAACUGCUUUCAUAACUGCUGAGCUAGAGUACGGUAGAGGGUAGUGGAAUUUCCUGUGUAGCGGUGAAAUGCGUAGAUAUAGGAAGGAACACCAGUGGCGAAGGCGACUACCUGGACUGAUACUGACACUGAGGUGCGAAAGCGUGGGGAGCAAACAGG